rnacentral:rRNA from 1 species
AUGAUAACUCAGCCUGAUGAAAGCGUAACUAACUUCACUGGAAAUCGCAUCUGGGAAGUUUUGUCACCUGGGCAAAUGAUGGAGGGUGAUGUAAUGGACUUCCUCAUUGAUGAUUGGAAGCAAGAUGCCAAGAGAAAUGCUGAUUUUGCAUCUGGGAAAAGGAUAUUGCUGAGUCCAUAUUUCAUCACGAUCAUGACGCCUCUAUUCAAGCCUAUGGUUUUAUCAAAGGAUAGGAAAGUGAACCACUAUUCCUUAUAUGUCAUGAAUCGGUACCGAAGUAGCGUUGACAUCCUUGACUCUUUACCUUAUCCGAAGAACCACCGUCCUUCAAAGAACACCUAUCACAAAGACUGCGAGAAGAUUAUUUCUAGAUUGGUCAAAGUAAUGAAGGUUGUGUAUGGUGAUGCUCAGUACAAUGCGAGCAAGCAACCCAAUUGGGAGCUGUUUGCAAAGAAACCAACGUUUGUCAAGGUUCCACUUCAAGGGGAAAAUGAAUGUGGCCAUUAUACUCUGAAGUAUGCGGGAUGCUACGAUGGUGAAAAGAUCGUUGAGAACAUUCGAGACUAUGACCCACGCAUUGUUGAUUGGAACGCUGAGGAUCUGUAUAGAGUUGUGUUCAACCGGAAUAACCAUCUUAUGGUGACGGAGCUUCCCAAGGAGCUUCAGGCUUUGGCUCCUAAUGCAUAG